rnacentral:rRNA from 1 species
GACGAACGCUGGCGGCGUGCUUAACACAUGCAAGUCGAACGGAAAGGCUCCAGCUUGCUGGAGUACUCGAGUGGCGAACGGGUGAGUAACACGUGGGUAAUCUGCCCUGCACUCUGGGAUAAGCCUGGGAAACUGGGUCUAAUACUGGAUAUGACCUUUCUCCUUAUGGGGUUUGGUGGAAAGUUUUUCGGUGUAGGAUGAGCCCGCGGCCUAUCAGCUUGUUGGUGGGGUGAUGGCCUACCAAGGCGACGACGGGUAGCCGGCCUGAGAGGGUGAUCGGCCACAUUGGGACUGAGAUACGGCCCAGACUCCUACGGGAGGCAGCAGUGGGGAAUAUUGCACAAUGGGCGGAAGCCUGAUGCAGCGACGCCGCGUGAGGGAUGACGGCCUUCGGGUUGUAAACCUCUUUCAGCAGGGACGAAGCGUAAGUGACGGUACCUGCAGAAGAAACACCGGCUAACUAUGU